rnacentral:rRNA from 1 species
AUUGAACGCUGGCGGCAGGCCUAACACAUGCAAGUCGAACGGUAGCACAGAGAGCUUGCUCUCGGGUGACGAGUGGCGGACGGGUGAGUAACGUCUGGGAAACUGCCCGAUGGAGGGGGAUAACUACUGGAAACGGUAGCUAAUACCGCAUAACGUCGCAAGACCAAAGUGGGGGACCUUCGGGCCUCACACCAUCGGAUGUGCCCAGAUGGGAUUAGCUAGUAGGUGGGGUAAUGGCUCACCUAGGCGACGAUCCCUAGCUGGUCUGAGAGGAUGACCAGCCACACUGGAACUGAGACACGGUCCAGACUCCUACGGGAGGCAGCAGUGGGGAAUAUUGCACAAUGGGCGCAAGCCUGAUGCAGCCAUGCCGCGUGUAUGAAGAAGGCCUUCGGGUUGUAAAGUACUUUCAGCGGGGAGGAAGGCGGCGGAGUUAAUAACUUCACCGAUUGACGUUACCCGCAGAAGAAGCACCGGCUAACUCCGUGCCAGCCGCCGCCGUAA